AUACGGAGGGUGCAAGCGUUAAUCGGAAUUACUGGGCGUAAAGCGUACGUAGGCGGUUCGUUAAGUUAGAUGUGAAAGCCCCGGGCUUAACCUGGGAACUGCAUUUAAAACUGGCGAACUAGAGUUAAGUAGAGGGGAGUGGAAUUUCAGGUGUAGCGGUGAAAUGCGUAGAGAUCUGAAGGAACACCAGUGGCGAAGGCGACUCCCUGGACUUGAACUGACGCUGAGGUACGAAAGCGUGGGUAGCAAACGGGAUUAGAUACCCCAGUAGUCC
rnacentral:rRNA from 1 species